CCCCGGAUCCCGAGGGUCGCAGAAGAUCGC
rnacentral:sRNA from 1 species